CAGGGCGCGAGAUGGCGCGUGCGCAAGGCUGCAUGGACGACGUUAUGGGAGGGGCGAAGCCGUGCUGUUAUGGCGGCGGGGCGGCCGGGGGGGUGGGGGGGGUUGUAUCUCGGUGUGAGGGCUGGGCUGAGCGUCCUGCGUGCAUAAAUGCACCAAGAAUAAGUCAAGUCCGUGUGUGUUUUCUGGAGGAAGUCACUGUUUUGCAACCUCUUCCCUUCCACAAAUACGAUGUUCUUCUUUUCAUGUUAUCCAGUAACACAGACUUCAGCUGUUUGCUUCCAGUCUUCCACUAUGAAAUGCCACAGUGCAGAAUUACAGGAAUGUAUGGCUAGAAGACAGACUCACCUCAGAGAGGCCUCAGCAUGACUUAGCACAGAACUGCUACAGUGAACAAGUGAAGACACAUGGAUUUUGCAGAAGUUCAUACUUUCUAAGCUGGAUGAUGCAAAAGCAGUUACUGGAGCAUGGUGCCUUGUGUAGAUAGGAGUUUUCAUUUGUGAAAGUGGUCAAAUAGAGGGAAUGGAAGAGCAAGGAGAAAUUAGAGUUUAUUUAAAAAUGAGUUUCAAUGGGAAAAACCAAGCAGGUAGGCCUUGUUAUCUGUUGCUUGGGUGUCUGUGGUCCAGGUUAUAAUGAGACUUGUGCACUGGUAGCUAUGUCCACAGCAGUGAACUAAAUGUGUCCAGCCCUGUUUCUUGCGCUGAGGCAAACUGGCACGGAAUGAGCUGGCUCCACACUACUGAAUGCCAUUGCCCUGCAAAGCAGGGUGGCUGCCAAACCGCCUGUGGGCAGCAGUGCCUGUGGCUGUUCCCAGAGGCUGGGAUUUUCUUGGUGGGGAGCCAGUAGGUGCAGGGCAAGCCUGUCUAGGACCUCCCCCGCAGGAAACCAACAUGAGCAGCUAGGUGCCAGUGCCUGGGAAUAUAUCAUGGCAGAUUCUUUCCACAAACAUAGCUGGUGCCUGUCUCCUGUUUCUGGCCUGAAUCUUCUUUAAGGUGAGGAUUUCUCUCGGUGCUCUUAGGGAAGAAAAAGGCUCUGAAAUUGCUGACAUAACCACUCAGUCUCUCCUGGUUCUCUGCUUGUCCUGCGCUUCUCUCAAUAGCAGAUAAAUGACCACAGGGAGAAAUUGCUCACAGACAGCCCACAUCUGCUCUGCACAAACUCACCUCCAUUUACAGAAAUAAGUGCGCUGGCAAGGGCUUGACUUGUGUCAUCCCCCAAGGUGAUGUUUAUACAGUACGUUCCAGGUUCAUCAAAAGCUCUCCUUAUGGUAACAACAAAGUCAACCAGUGGAUUUUCAGCUUGACUUUCUGUCAUCUGGAUGCUUGUCAUCUGAAUAAUAUUUACCUCAAGGAUUCCCUCUGGAAGAGGAAACAGAUGUCAACAGUAGGACACAUGACAAG